GCCGGGGUGGCAGAGUGGUAAUGCGCUGGACACCCUUUUUUCCUACUAUGGAAGGCUUAGGAGAAGGGGCAGAGUCGAGAUCCAGUGGCUCUUUGAGCCUCAAGGGUUCAAAUCCCUUCCCCGGCGCCA
rnacentral:tRNA from 1 species